AUACGGAGGGUGCAAGCGUUAUUCGGAACCACUGGGCGUAAAGGACGCGUAGGCGGGUUGGCAAGUCAGAUGUGACAUCCUACAGCUUAACUGUAGAACUGCAUUUGAAACUGCUAACCUAGAGUAUGGGAGGGGGAGAUGGAAUUAGUGGUGUAGGGGUAAAAUCCGUAGAUAUCACUAGGAAUACCGAAAGCGAAGGCGAUCUCCUGGAACAUAACUGACGCUAAGGCGUGAAAGCGUGGGGAGCAAAAAGGAUUAGAUACCCUAGUAGUCC
rnacentral:rRNA from 1 species